CGAAUGCAUCUAGAUUAGAGUUUGAUCCUGGCUCAGAACGAACGCUGGCGGCAGGCUUAACACAUGCAAGUCGAACGCCCCGCAAGGGGAGUGGCAGACGGGUGAGUAACGCGUGGGAACAUACCCUUUCCUGCGGAAUAGCUCCGGGAAACUGGAAUUAAUACCGCAUACGCCCUACGGGGGAAAGAUUUAUCGGGGAAGGAUUGGCCCGCGUUGGAUUAGCUAGUUGGUGGGGUAAAGGCCUACCAAGGCGACGAUCCAUAGCUGGUCUGAGAGGAUGAUCAGCCACAUUGGGACUGAGACACGGCCCAAACUCCUACGGGAGGCAGCAGUGGGGAAUAUUGGACAAUGGGCGCAAGCCUGAUCCAGCCAUGCCGCGUGAGUGAUGAAGGCCUUAGGGUUGUAAAGCUCUUUCACCGGAGAAGAUAAUGACGGUAUCCGGAGAAGAAGCCCCGGCUAACUUCGUGCCAGCAGCCGCGGUAUUACGAAGGGGGCUAGCGUUGUUCGGAAUUACUGGGCGUAAAGCGCACGUAGGCGGAUAUUUAAGUCAGGGGUGAAAUCCCAGAGCUCAACUCUGGAACUGCCUUUGAUACUGGGUAUCUUGAGUAUGGAAGAGGUAAGUGGAAUUCCGAGUGUAGAGGUGAAAUUCGUAGAUAUUCGGAGGAACACCAGUGGCGAAGGCGGCUUACUGGUCCAUUACUGACGCUGAGGUGCGAAAGCGUGGGGAGC
rnacentral:rRNA from 1 species